GCGGAGGUGGCGGGGUCGGUCCCGCCAUCCCUGCGGGGCUCCCCCCGUCUCCCCGGGAGAAUCCCGGCAGCAGCUGCUCGCUCUUCCCGGCGGCCCUGCCAGGGGGGCGCGCCUCUGGUCCCCUCCCCAUCCCGCCCGUGAUCCUGAGGCGCUGUCCCGGGGCUCCCUGCGAGCCCCUGCGGACACGGAAGGGCGGCAGGAGGGGCGAGUGCUAUCCAAAAUAAUACCAACUUUUAUGUUAAGAAGUUACUGAAGUGGAGGAAGAACAAAUUCUUUCACUUUAUUUCCAUACUUGGCAAAAUGAAGGUGAGAAAAGAAGCAAUGAAGGUAAAUAUUUUGAUAUUUAAGUGGUUAGACAAUAGAAUUUUUAUGUCUGUAAUCUUUUUUUCACAACAUGAGCAACAAAUCAAUGUUUUUACUGUCACCUGUUUUACUUGCAAAUGCAGCACAAAUCUCUCUGGAUUGUGUGCCCCUGUGCAUUCCUUCUGGCAGGCACUGGCUUGCAUUUUAGUAUAAGUUAGACUGGCUUCAUGUGGAAGAAAAUGGAAAUUCCUUAUAAAGUCAACUUUUCUUUAAAUAAAGUAUGCUGUGGAUGAUUCACUACCGAAUGUGAGGCUUAGACAGCAAAAAUUUUAUUGUGCAAAGGCAAAGCAAUGUGGGAUUCUUUCCUCUAAAUCUUACUGCUAAACAAAAUGCUUAAAAGUUGACCGUGGGCAUAGCUGGUAUUUACAUGAUGGAAUGCUUUGGUUUUAAUUUGCUUUUUGGACAGGUAGAGGCCACCACAGACAGGCCUGGACAUUCGGCCCUUCUGAGCAGUUUGUGACUGGGGAGGCAGAUAACUAAACUGUAAAUGCCAAGAGAACAAUUUCAACGCUCACAGAUGAACACCUCUUCCUUUUUGACCUCCUGACAUCCUUAGUUUAGGUGGGUUUAAACAAAUGGAGAAACAUACUGUAUGCAAUGCAUGGUUUUAUAUACAUGCUAAUAGAAAGUAUACAUUGAAGUACUAUUUAAUAGAAAGACAAGCAGCAUCUGAAAAGCACAUAAGCCUAAUUGAUUCCAGACACAACUGGCCUGGAUUUUGUUUCCUCUUAUUUCAACUUUCUGACCUUGUAAAAAUUAUCUUGAUUGUGUUAUACUAAAACAAGGCCGUGAUCUUGCAAAAACUACCAUGUGUGCUGGAGCUGAGAAGUGCCCAGCAGAGCACUGCAUACAGAACGAAUGCUGACAGCGUUAGGCCCCAGCGCUGCCCGGUUUGUUUUCCCCUCCUUGUACCUAAUCAUGGUGAAACAAUAGUCUCACUUCUGCUGAAAGCUGGAUCUAGGCUUUCAUUUUUAAAGAGGGAAAAAAAUGUGUAGUGAAACUUUACAAUUUGUGGUGUAUUAUAGUUUUAAAAUUCUCAGAGCAGUUUAAACUACUGGGAUUUUAUGGCGUUUAGACCAGGGGAAAGAACAGGGAGGGUUUAAAAACACAUAUUGCCUGUAAUUUUUUUCAGUUGUGUGUGCGUAUGUGUGGUGAUAUCUCUGUUUUUCAGAAGAUAGUUUCUAGGGAUUGGUAGGAGGGUUGAAGGACUUACUGGCUUUGAUGAUAACCCUUCCAAUACCGUUGUGCCUCUGUAUAAACAUGCACGAAAGACCCAGGACAGCAGAGUGCUCCAUGUGCUGCUGUCUUUGGCACUGGAGAACUUCUAAUAAUAUUUUCUGCUUGAAAAAAUCCAAGGCCUGGGUACACUGAUCCUUUUAUUACAAUAACUGCUGUUGUUCCUUCUAUCUGGGAAUCUGUGUCUUGCUAGCUUUAAAUCUCUGUGGAGGGGAGUGACAAAAAGAGGUCUUUCCAGCGUAUUGAACUGAUGAUCCCUCUCCUUAUUUCUCUGAAGGCUCUCCUUUUGUUUUUUUUCUGGAUCAAGAAUAAACUGUGUAUUUGGGCCUUUGUCAGCAAAGUUCCCGUGGGGCAUCCUUGUAAGCACUGGGAUUGCCUGUUUAGUAGAGGGAGGCUUAUAAAAAGCAACUCCAGGUGGAAGUGGGCCUUUUCCUGCUCCUCCCUUCAUCCUGCUGCAAUUCCCUUUCAUCCAAGCCCUGAGAACUGCCUGCCAUUUAGACUAGGGUACAAAACUAUGAGAGUUGUACUCCCUUGACCUAGAAAUUAGAGUGUCUGUCGUCACUUAUAUUGAUUUGUUAAUGUUCUGGGGAGUUUUGUUGUAUAUAAUGUACUGUGUCAACUUCUGGUGGUUGUACAACAGCAAAUAUAACUCAAAAAGCUAAGCCUACCUCUGAAGAAAGCGAGCAGCUUUUAUGCAUCAUGAAACUUGGUUUCUAAGAAGUUGGCAUCAAUAUGACUGCCAUCACAUUUGGGAUUUCUUAGCUACCAUGUCAAUGUUUCUUAUUUCCCAACAGAUUGCAAGGUGGACAUGCUGUGUGGUAUGUUACUUGUUAAAUAAAAAAGCCUGAGAGCA